rnacentral:rRNA from 1 species
UACGUAGGGGGCAAGCGUUGUCCGGAAUUAUUGGGCGUAAAGAGCGCGUAGGCGGUCCGAUAAGUCGGCUGUGAAAGUCAGGGGCUCAACCCUUGAAAGCCGGCCGAUACUGUCGGACUAGAGUCCGGAAGAGGCAAGUGGAAUUCCCGGUGUAGCGGUGAAAUGCGCAGAUAUCAGGAGGAACACCAAUGGCGAAGGCAGCUCGCUGGGACGUGACUGACGCUGAGACGCGAAAGCGUGGGGAGCGAACAGG